rnacentral:tRNA from 1 species
UCGGGUAUGGUGUAGCGGUAACAUCGUUGACUCUCAUUUCUUCAGGAGUGACUGCUUUCUCAACAGCCCCGGGUUCGACUCCCGGUAUCCGAG